rnacentral:rRNA from 1 species
AUUGAACGCUGGCGGCAGGCUUAACACAUGCAAGUCGAGCGGGGACUUCGGUCCUAGCGGCGAACGGGUGAGGAAUGCUUGGGAAUCUGCCUGGUAGUGGGGGAUAACGUUUCGAAGGGAACGCUAAUACCGCAUACGUCCUACGGGAGAAAGGGGGGGAUCUUCGGACCUCUCGCUAUCAGAUGAGCCCAAGUCGGAUUAGCUAGUUGGUGAGGUAAAGGCUCACCAAGGCGACGAUCCGUAGCUGGUCUGAGAGGAUGAUCAGCCACACUGGAACUGAGACACGGUCCAGACUCCUACGGGAGGCAGCAGUGGGGAAUAUUGGACAAUGGGCGAAAGCCUGAUCCAGCCAUGCCGCGUGUGUGAAGAAGGCCUUCGGGUUGUAAAGCACUUUAAGCGAGGAGGAAUGGCUCUGGGUUAAUACCCUUGAGCAGUGACGUUACUCGCAGAAUGAGCACCGGCUAACUCUGUGCCAGCAGCCGCCGUAAGAC